rnacentral:ncRNA from 1 species
UGAGAUAGAGGUGCGCCUUAUCAUCAGUAGUAAUCCUGAUUCGCAGUGCAGUGCGAAGGAGAAGUGAAAGGGAUGGGCGCCGAAGGAAGGCAGGGCUGCAUCCGGCCGACCUGGGAGUACGUAAUAAGAUGCGUGCGACUGUCGCGUACACGCGGAGCGCUAUCC